rnacentral:rRNA from 1 species
AGCAGGAAUUCCCAGUGUAGCGGUGAAAUGCGUAGAUAUUGGGAAGAACAUCGGUGGCGAAGGCGUGCUACUGGACCGUAACUGACACUCAGGGACGAAAGCUAGGGGAGCGAAAGGGAUUAGAUACCCCUGUAGUCCUAGCUGUAAACGAUGGAAACUAGGCGUGGCUUGUAUCGACCCGAGCCGUGCCGUAGCUAACGCGUUAAGUUUCCCGCCUGGGGAGUACGCACGCAAGUGUGAAACUCAAAGGAAUUGACGGGGGCCCGCACAAGCGGUGGAGUAUGUGGUUUAAUUCGAUGCAACGCGAAGAACCUUACCAGGGCUUGACAUGUCGCGAAUCUCGGUGAAAGCUGAGAGUGCCUUCGGGAGCGCGAACACAGGUGGUGCAUGGCUGUCGUCAGCUCGUGUCGUGAGAUGUUGGGUUAAGUCCCGCAACGAGCGCAACCCUUAUUUUUAGUUGCCAGCAUUAAGAUGGGCACUCUAGAAAGACUGCCGGUGACAAACCGGAGGAAGGUGAGGACGACGUCAAGUCAGCAUGCCCCUUACGCCCUGGGCUACACACGUACUACAAUGGUUGGGACAAAGGGCAGCGACUCCGCAAGGAAUAGCGAAUCUCAUCAAACCCAGCCUCAGUUCAGAUUGCAGGCUGCAACUCGCCUGCAUGAAGGAGGAAUCGCUAGUAAUCGCAGGUCAGCAUACUGCGGUGAAUUCGUUCCCGGGCCUUGUACACACCGCCCGUCACACCAUGGAAGCUGGUCACGCCCGAAGUAGUUACCCUAACCUUUCGAGGAGGGGGAUUCCUAAGGCAGGGCUAGUGACUGGGGUGAAGUCGUAACAAGGUAACC